GAUGAACGCUGGCGGCAUGCCUAAUACAUGCAAGUCGAGCGAAAAGACGAUGAGCUUGCCACUCUGACGUUACCGGCGGAUGGGUGAGAAACACGUAGAUAACCUACCUAUAUGAGUGGGAUAACUUCGUGCAACUGGCGCUUAUACCGGUCAAUUUAUUGCAUUUCUUGGUUCAAUAGUUGACGACGGUCUUGCUAUCUCGUAUAGGUGGAAAGGCCCCACCUGAGCUAGUUGGUAAGGGAACGGCUUACCAAAGCUACGCUGGGUAGCAAACCAGAGAGGGUGGUCGGCCAGCCUGGAACUGAGGCACGGUCCACACUCCUACAGUGAGCAGCAGUAGGGAAUCUUCCGCGAUGGGCGAGAGCCUGACGGAGCAACAUCGCGGGAGUGAUGAUGGUCUUCGGAUCGUAGAACGCUGAUAUUAGGGAAGAAGAAAUGUGUAAGUAUCUAUGCACGUCAUGACGGUACCUAAUCAGAAAGCCACGGCUAACUACGUG
rnacentral:rRNA from 1 species